rnacentral:rRNA from 1 species
UGGGGAAUUUUGGACAAUGGGCGAAAGCCUGAUCCAGCAAUGCCGCGUGUGUGAAGAAGGCCUUCGGGUUGUAAAGCACUUUUGUCCGGAAAGAAAUCCUUGGCUCUAAUACAGUCGGGGGAUGACGGUACCGGAAGAAUAAGCACCGGCUAACUACGUGCCAGCAGCCGCGGUAAUACGUAGGGUGCAAGCGUUAAUCGGAAUUACUGGGCGUAAAGCGUGCGCAGGCGGUUUGCUAAGACCGAUGUGAAAUCCCCGGGGCUCAACCUGGGAACUGCAUUGGUGACUGGCAGGCUAGAGUAUGGCAGAGGGGGGUAGAAUUCCACGUGUAGCAGUGAAAUGCGUAGAGAUGUGGAGGAAUACCGAUGGCGAAGGCAGCCCCCUGGGCCAGUACUGACGCUCAUGCACGAAAGCGUGGGGGAGCAAACAGGAUUAGAUACCCUGGGUAGUCCACGCCCUAAAACGAUGUCAACUAGUUGUUGGGGGAUUCAUUUUCCUUAGUAACGUAGCUAACGCGUGAAGUUGACCGCCUGGGGGAGUACGGUCGCAAGAUUAAAACUCAAAGGAAUUGACGGGGGUCAUAGCUG